GUCAAGUACAAAGAGCAUCGGGUGGAUGCCUUGGCACUGGGAGCCGAAGAAGGACGUGAUAAGCUGCGAUAAGCUGCGGUAAGGAGCACAUAUCCGAUAUACCCGCAGAUUUCCGAAUGGGGGAACCCACAUACGGUAAUGCGUAUGUAUCAUUAAGUGAAUACAUAGCUUAAUGAAGGGAACGGGGUGAACUGAAACAUCUAAGUAGCCCUAGGAAGAGAAAGAAAAAUCGAUUUCCUGAGUAGCGGCGAGCGAAAGGGAAAGAGGCCAAACCAAAUUGUUUACAGUUUGGGGUUGUGGACCACCGACAUUGACGAAGUUAUGCGAGCCGAAUAGGGUUGGAAAGCUCAAGCAGAGAAGGUAAUACUCCUGUAGGCGAAGCAGAAAGCGCAUAGGUGGCACCAGAGUAGGACCGGACACGUGCAACCCGGUCUGAAGCAGGAGGGACCACCCUCCAAGCCUAAAUACUACCCAGUGACCGAUAGCGAAUAGUACCGUGAGGGAAAGGUGAAAAGAACCCCGGGAGGGGAGUGAAAUAGAAUCUGAAACCUGAUGCUUACAAGCAUAGGGAGCGCAAGUGACCUAGUACUUUUUGUAGAACGGGCCAACGAGUUAUGGUAUGUAGCGAGGUUAAGUUGCUGGAGCAACGGAGCCGUAGAGAAAUCGAGUCUGAAUAGGGCGAGAGUUACAUGCUGUAGACCCGAAACCGGGUGACCUAUCCAUGAGCAGGUUGAAGUAACCGUAAAAGGUUAUGGAGGACCGAACCUAUAUCUGUUGAAAAAGGUUAGGAUGACUUGUGGAUAGCGGUGAAAUUCCAAUCGAACUCGGAUAUAGCUGGUUCUCCUCGAAAUAGCUUUAGGGCUAGCCUCAAGGUAAAGAUACACGGGGGUAGAGCACUGACUGUUCGCGGGGCCUUCACCGGUUACCAACAACUAUCAAACUCCGAAUACCGUGCUAUCAUACUUGGGAGUCAGACUAUGAGAGAUAAGUUCCAUGGUCGAAAGGGAAACAGCCCAGAUCAACAGCUAAGGUCCCAAAGAGUAAGUUAAGUGGAAAAGGAUGUGGGAUUGCACAAACAGCUAGGAUGUUGGCUUAGAAGCAGCCAUACAUUUAAAGAGUGCGUAAUAGCUCACUAGUCGAGUGAUCCUGCGCCGAAGAUAAACGGGGCUCAAACUUACCACCGAAGCUUUGGAAUUAGUAUAACUAAUUGGUAGAGGAGCAUUCUAUACAGGUAGAAGGAGGCGCGUAAGCAAAUCUGGACGGUAUAGAAGAGAGAAUGUUGGCAUGAGUAGCGUAAGGCGGGUGAGAAUCCCGUCCGCCGAAAAUCUAAGGUUUCCUGAGGAAGGUUCGUCCUCUCAGGGUAAGUCGGGACCUAAGCCGAGAGCGAACGCUGUAGGCGAUGGACAACAGGUUGAUAUUCCUGUACCACCAAGGAUUGUUUGAAUGAAGUGGGGACACAGAAGGAUAGAUUGAGCACGCCGUUGGUUGAGCGUGUCCAAGCAGCAAGGCUUGAAAGUAGGCAAAUCCGCUUUCUACAAGGCUGAGCUGUGAUGGGGUGGUCGAAUGACCGGUAGCAAUCGAUUUCACGCUGUCAAGAAAAGCCGCUAAUGAGAUCCAAGGUGCCCGUACCGCAAACCGACACAGGUAGAUGAGGAGAGAAUCCUAAGGUGAGCGAGAGAACUAUUGUUAAGGAACUCGGCAAAAUAACCCCGUAACUUCGGGAGAAGGGGUGCCUGCUUCGGCAGGCCGCAGUGAAGAGGUCCAGGCAACUGUUUACCAAAAACACAGGUCUCUGCUAAAGCGAAAGCUGAUGUAUAGGGGCUGACGCCUGCCCGGUGCUGGAAGGUUAAGGGGAAGUGUUAGGGCAACCGAAGCACAGAACUUAAGCCCCAGUAAACGGCGGCCGUAACUAUAACGGUCCUAAGGUAGCGAAAUUCCUUGUCGGGUAAGUUCCGACCCGCACGAAAGGCGUAAUGAUUUG
rnacentral:rRNA from 1 species